AAAUACACUGAGAAAAAAGGGUCAAAUUUAGGAAUUCUGGUCAAAAUAAUAUUUUUAAUUUCUUUGAGACGUCCUCCUGAAGUUGUUACAUGUUGGGGGGCUGUGACCUUUGGAAGUAUACCAUUAUGUCUAACAAUAAGGUUACAAAAAACCCCACAUUUUAUGGAGUAUGUCCCCUAAUUUUGGUCUGCCACUGUAGACAGACUCAACUAAUUGCUUUCCCAGAGCUUUGCACAUUUCUGUCCAGUGAUUUUGGUGUGUUCAUAGAUUUUAAAAAUUUGACCUUUAUGAAGAGAUUUUGGUGUGUUCAUAGAUUUUAAAAAUUUGACCUUUAUGAGUGCUUACUGCAGGAAAACAAAAAAAAUCCAGGUCCAUAGGCAAUCUUUAUUUUCUAGCUUUCAAGGGAAGGUAAACCAUUAUUUAUUGUGAAUAAAUAGACUUGAAAAAUGGGAUGUGUAAUUUUCUUUUUCACAACACAAAAAUUUUGCUUCCACAUAGCACGAUGGUUUGUGUAUUAGCUCACAGCUGGGUGUCUGCUGGGACUGGGGUCUGAUGGCAGGUGUGCUCCUGACCUCAAGGUACUUCUUGGUAGGAAAUGAGAGCAGCUGAGUUUUCAGUUCCGUAUUUGGCAGCCUGCUGUGGGGGAAGUUGAGCUCCAGGGGAGUUCUCUGCAGGACAGUGAGUGACACUUGGGAAUGUCCAGCCUGCUAGGGAUGGUGCAAAGACAUUUGAACAUACAUCCCUGGGGAAAAGGCAUUUUACUUUCUUCUUCCUGCAUGUUGGAUUGCAGAAUAGCGUGCAUUUUAAGCAAUUUGGAAAGUAAAUGUAGAAAAGGCCGAAUUCUGUCCUCCAGUUGCUAUGGACAUUUUAUUUUCCUGUAAUAUUAAACUCUAAGCACAUCACAGAUUAUAUACUACUUUAUCCUAUUUUUUCAUCUUGAUCAUUUGUCCAGUUUAUUGAAAACCAAGUGUAAGUGAUGACAAAAGUAUUUUGCUUUAUUUUUAGUCACUUUCUUGCUUAAGGUUAGGGAUGUUUUACAAGGGCUACUGGGUUGGCCUGCCUCCUCCUGGUUAUGCAUACAGCCCUAUCAGUCUUUCAUUUUAGAACCAAGUUCUUGUUUUCCAGUUGUUACUAUGUGGAACACCCACCUAGGACUUUUAUUUCCUAUAAUAUGGUGAAACUUUUUCAGAAAUUUUUCUUUUAAACAAGAAAUUGGAGAGGCCGGGGUUGUGGUUCAGGGGUAGAGUGCUUGCCUAGCAUGUGUGAGCAGGCACUGGGUUCGAUCCCUGGCAUCACAUAAAAAUAAAAACAAAGGAGUUGUGUCCAUCUACAACUAAAAAAAAAAAAAAAUUGGAGGAGUCACCUGUAAGCAUGGCUUAGAGAGCCGCCUCUGUGAACUCAGGUUGCUAGGACACAGGAAAAAGGCUUUUACUUCGUAAAUAAGUGGGAGCUGUGAAUGCCAAAGCAGGGCAAUUUUGAGAAGUUUUUAAUUUCUAAGUGCAAGUUGUGUGAAAUUAUAAAGCACUUUGAGGAAUUUCCUGAACGUGUGAUUUAAGUGUCCACCUAGGAGAUGGAUUUUGCUUCUGUAUUUCUCAAUAUUUAAUGAUGUUUUCAAGGUGCUUGUUGCUGUGUGUCAGUUUGCUUGGUCUUCACAGACCUCAGGAGAAGGAUACCUCCUGGACGGCAGGGAUUUAAGUAAAGGGAAGGGUAGGGGUUAGGUAUUCCGGUGCAGGGCUGUGGUCCUCAGCCACGUGAAGGAAUCUCCUGUGUUCUGGUCAAGGCAAGUGUCUCUAAAGAGGAAAUAAGUAUGGUAAUUUUGUGAUGCCUUUGUUUUCCAUUAAAGACGUAGGUAUUUCUCAGUGAUGUCUUCAAGACAUUGCAGGUUUUAAGUUUUCAGACUUUCUUUUUUCCUGUUUAUCCCCAGAAGUAGUGAGGAGGGAUAAAACACUGCUCAUCAUCUCAACCUCGAACGAAAAGCCAACAUGAACAUGUUUUCCUUCAGCAUUUGAUGAUGGUUUAAACCAAAUGGCUAGGUUUUUAAAACUGACUUCAAAGUUAACAUUCUUGAUACUGUUUGUAGUUACAAAGAAAUGACAUGUAAUAAUACUUAAGAAAUUUGAAUACAGGGACAUUAUAUUUUGGGGAAGAAAAGUUACUGACAAUAUUAAGUUCUUUAAAAAACGGUUGAAAUUGCAAAUUAAGUAAUGGAAAUCUGUUUUCAUGUUCUGGAGCAGUAAGUUUUCUUAGUUCCUUGUUUGAGAAAAGUAGAAGUUUG
rnacentral:lncRNA from 1 species